UACGUAGGGGGCAAGCGCUGUCCGGAUUCAUUGGGCGUAAAGAGCGUGUAGGCGGCCAGGUAGGUCGGUUGUGAAAACUGGAGGCUCAACCUUCAGAGGUCGACCGAAACCAUCUGGCUAGAGUCCGGGAGAGGAGAGUGGAAUUCCUGGUGUAGCGGUGAAAUGCGCAGAUAUCAAGAAGAACACCCGUGGCGAAAGCGGCUCUCUGGAACGGUACUGACGCUGAGACGCGAAAGCGUGGGGAGCGAACAGG
rnacentral:rRNA from 1 species